rnacentral:rRNA from 1 species
AUAGUCCAUCAGGAUACUCUCUUGAUGUGUACUGGGGUGUUAACCUCCUUUUUUUUCUGGUACUUGCUAUCCAGCAAUGGGUAGUUUUGUCCAGAUAGUUUACUUUGAAAAAAAUUAGAGUGUUCAAAGCAGGCAUAAUUGGCAUUGAAUAGAUUAGCAUGGGAUAAUAGAAUAGGAUUCUUAUCUAUUUAUUGGUUUAUAGACUUAGAAUAAUGAUUAAUAGGGAUAGUUGGGGGCACUUGUAUUCAAUAGUCAGAGGUGAAAUUCUAGGAUUUAUUGAAGACAAACUUCAGCGAAAGCAUUUGCCAAGGAUGUUUUCAUUAAUCAAGAACGAAAGUUAGGGGAUCGAAGACGAUUAGACACCGUCGUAGUCUUAACUAUAAACUAUGCCGACCAGGGAUAUGAGAGUUUCUUAUUUAUGUUAUGAAUAAUAACAUAAUCUCUUGUGGACCUUGUGAGAAAUCAUAAGUUUUUGGGUUCUGGGG